GAUGAACGCUGGCGGCGUGCCUAAUACAUGCAAGUCGAGCGAACAGACGAGGAGCUUGCUCCUCUGACGUUAGCGGCGGACGGGUGAGUAACACGUGGAUAGCCUACCUAUAAGACUGGGAUAACUUCGGGAAACCGGAGCUAAUACCGGAUAAUAUAUUGAACCGCAUGGUUCAAUAGUGAAAGACGGUUUUGCUGUCACUUAUAGAUGGAUCCGCGCCGCAUUAGCUAGUUGGUAAGGUAACGGCUUACCAAGGCAACGAUGCGUAGCCGACCUGAGAGGGUGAUCGGCCACACUGGAACUGAGACACGGUCCAGACUCCUACGGGAGGCAGCAGUAGGGAAUCUUCCGCAAUGGGCGAAAGCCUGACGGAGCAACGCCGCGUGAGUGAUGAAGGUCUUCGGAUCGUAAAACUCUGUUAUUAGGGAAGAACAAAUGUGUAAGUAACUAUGCACGUCUUGACGGUACCUAAUCAGAAAGCCACGGCUAACUACGU
rnacentral:rRNA from 1 species